GGAUGUAGCUCAGUGGUACAGCACCUGCCUGGCAAGCAUGAGGCCCUGAGUUCGAUUCCCAGUACCA
rnacentral:tRNA from 1 species